rnacentral:misc_RNA from 1 species
AAGUCGUAACAAGGUCUCCGUUGGUGAACCAGCGGAGGGAUCAUUACAGAGUUAUCUAACUCCCAAACCCAUGUGAACUUACCUUUGUUGCCUCGGCAGUAGUUGCUGGGCGAGCCUACCUGGGAACGAGCUAUUCUGUAGCGAGUUACCCUGGAACGACUUACCCUGGAACGCCUGCCGGUGGACUACUAAACUCUUGUUAUUUUUAAGUAAUCUGAGCGUCUUAUUUUAAUAAGUCAAAACUUUCAACAACGGAUCUCUUGGUUCUG